rnacentral:rRNA from 1 species
UACAGAGGUGGCAAGCGUUGUUCGGAAUUACUGGGCGUAAAGGGCGAGUAGGCGGCCUUCUAAGUCAGACGUGAAAUCCCCCGGCUUAACCUGGGAACUGCGUCUGAUACUGGGAGGCUAGAGUAUGGGAGAGGAAGGUAGAAUUCCAGGUGUAGCGGUGAAAUGCGUAGAUAUCUGGAGGAAUACCGGUGGCGAAGGCGGCCUUCUGGACCAUAACUGACGCUGAUACGCGAAAGCUAGGGGAGCAAACGGG